CCUACGUGCGGCAGCAGUGGGGAAUAUUGGACAAUGGGCGAAAGCCUGAUCUAGCCAUGCCGCGUGUGUGAAGAAGGCCUUCGGGUUGUAAAGCACUUUCAGUGGGGAAGAAAGCCUUGGGGCUAAUACCCUCGAGGAAGGACAUCACCCACAGAAGAAGCACCGGCUAACUCCGUGCCAGCAGCCGCGGUAAUACGGAGGGUGCGAGCGUUAAUCGGAAUUACUGGGCGUAAAGCGCGCGUAGGCGGUCUGAUAAGCCGGUUGUGAAAGCCCCGGGCUCAACCUGGGAACGGCAUCCGGAACUGUCAGGCUAGAGUGCAGGAGAGGAAGGUAGAAUUCCCGGUGUAGCGGUGAAAUGCGUAGAGAUCGGGAGGAAUACCAGUGGCGAAGGCGGCCUUCUGGACUGACACUGACGCUGAGGUGCGAAAGCGUGGGUAGCAAACAGGAUUAGAUACCCUUGUAGUC
rnacentral:rRNA from 1 species